GGGCCACAAGGUAGGUUAAUUUGUUUUCUUAUGGCUAAAGCCUGGAGUCCUUCAAAGUACACCUCCCACCCCCACACUUAGAUAUCUUUUGAAGAUUUAAAAAUAACAUACAGUAUCAAGUUCUUACUCAAGAUGCUUUUCUGUUCUGUCCACUGGCCAGUGUGAAUUAUUGCUCGGCUGCUUGACCUGUGCAACCCCACCCCACGUUUUUCAGACUUUGCCACCAUUCCCAAAGCGAAGUUGCUGGUGAACCUUCAGAUGAAAGUGGCGGAGCCAGCAAGUGAGGAGGAAGAGGAAGAGGAAGAGGAGGCCAACAAUUCCCACCUGAGUGAAAAUGAUAUUCAUGUGAAUGGAAAUGGAGGUUAUCAAGACCAUGGGCUACAGAACUGAAUGGAGCUGUGCAGACAGAGCCUCUAACAGGUGCACUAGAAGGAGUUCUGGCAACUGCGGUUGUCAUGGAGAGAAACAUGACUGAAAUUGAUGAAGGUUUUUGAUGUCAUGGACUCUGCGUAAGGAUAUCUUGGAGCUGUGCGAAGAUCUGAGCAUUUUGAAGAGUCAAGAUGGAGUUCAAGAGCAAUAGACGGCUGUUGCAAUUCUAUUUUGUUCCAACUUGCGUACUACACAGUGUCCCACAGUGCAGUUUUAAUGCUGCUGCUUUCUACAUCAAAGUGUGACUCUUUGACAUCACGUGUUCCACAGGUGUGCCAAAUAACAGCAGGUUUUAUUUACAAAAAUUGUAAGUGCUGUCUUACUGUUAAUGUAGCAGUCAUUAAAAAUAGUCAACAUUUGAGGGAU